rnacentral:lncRNA from 1 species
UCCGGAGUUGCUCAAAUUUGCUGGUUUUGGCUUGUGAUCAUGAGAGAUGUAAAGGAAAAGGAAGAAAAAGAUGAUGGCAAGAUGCUGAAGCUACCACCUGGAUUUCGGUUCUCGCCGACAGACGAAGAACUUGUCCUUCACUUUCUGCAUCCCAAGAAGCAGCAGGCCUCUCUGUCUCCUCUCUAUGCUCACCUGGUUCCUGAUCUCAAGUCUCACCACCAUGAUCCUUGGGACCUCCAUGGUAAGCGAGAGAGAGCAACUUUUGCUUUAUUAUCGUACAUAUAGUUGCUUAGUAGGAUGCAGUGCCCUAGCUAGAAGAAAUUCUGGAUAAAGAGGUAUAGAAAAAUUAGCUCUGAUUGCCCUAAUACAUCUUCUGAUGAGCUUGUCAAGAUCUUGAAGACGAGACUUGUGAGAGUAAAUGGUUUUUCCUGAAGUCACAUGAUUAUCAAAAGUAACUUAGCAAAGAUUUGCCGUGUUAAUAUCGUAACAGGGAUAUCAUCAUAUAUGAUUUGCUGUGACAGAAAGUCUUUUAUCAGUUCCACUUCGACAACUGAAAUUAGAUUUUGAAUGCACAGGAAAGGCGCUGUCGAAUGGAUCCCACUACUUCUAUUUCAGCAGAAUGAUGAACAAUCGAAUUACGGAAAAUGGGUACUGGAAAGAUUUAGACAUGGAAGAGCCAGUGUUUGGUGAAGCUGGAGAAAUUAUAGGAAUGAAGAAAUCUCUGACUUUCCACAUUGGAGAGGCUCCAACAGGUCAAGAGACAAACUGGGUGAUGCAGGAGUAUCAUCUCGUGUCCUUCCAUGAAUUGGCUAAUUCAACACAAGUGAGUGCAAAUAUUCCUCAGAAAUGUUGAAAGUUAGAUUGUCAGUUAAUCUAUCUUUGAAAAGCUUCACGAGACUUUGUCCAUCGUACACCAUGUGUAAAAGAGUUUCGCUUGCAACACAUUUUUCACUCACGUUGUCUGAUUUUGAUUUCGAUAUUUGCUGUGGUAAGCUGUCGGAUUUUCUUUUUGCAACCAAGGCAAUUUGACUGUAAACUCGGACUUAUUUCUCAAGCAAAGUGCUAAUAUGGAGGCAACAGAGCAUAUGGUCCAAGUAGAGACCACCCCAGCCCGAGAUAUAAGAAAAUUUUUAAAGGUGGCAUCCACUCGGACUGUACAUGUCAGCUCUACAUGGGUCGCCAUGUCGACAAUUUGCUAGAAAUUUCGUUUUUUUUUUUUUUUUUUUGGUCGGAGCUAGAAAUUUCGUUGGAUUCCAGUCGAAAUGCAACAAAUAUAAAAAGAAACGAAAAUUUAACGCAUGUCCUGCAACCGAAUCAAAGUCCAGUGACCUGUUUGCAGAUGCCCCCAAUUGCAGUCAUCGCCAGUUAAAUAUUUCUGGUUUAUGGGCAUGUUGACAGAGCGUAGUAUCAGAGCUCAAAUAUGAUUCAACAUUGAUUAAAUUCUUGAGUGCUUGCUUGGAAAUUUUAGAAUGAGUUGUCAAAUUUUGUUGUACACAGGAACCCGGUUCGCUGGUUCUGUCUCGAGUUCAUGAAAGCAAGACAAGUCAUGGACAAAGCUUAUGCUCGGGAGGAGAUGAGGAUAGUGAGACUGAUCUCUCGUACAUGGACGAGAUGUUUAUGUUAUUAGACGAGGAUCUUGAUGAUAUAAGUUCGGGAGAUUAAGUAUGCAUGUCUGUAUCGUACGUUCGAACAUAUUCAUACCCAUGACAUGUACAUAAACUAUACGAGGCAUCUUGCCGACCAUCAUCAGCAUGUCAGCAAGUUAAUUUAGUGGUUGUACAUUGCUGUGAUGUAAUUAUAUGGCCUUCUUAUUUAAAAUCCUGCCCUAACCUAACUUACACUAUUGAGCUAACCAUUGUUUAGUUUGUCUAUCGAAAUGAUUGAUUUGCUGUUUCACUUUUUCUCAACCGAUAGUCUUCGAUAGGCUAGUCAUUUUGUUAGGUUACUUUUGUUCUUUUCCCCUUACCGGAACAUGUUACAUGUGAAUGAUGUAUAUAUGACUAAAUGGUGACGAUCAUCGGGCGAAUAUGUACUCAAUUUCAAGAUCAAUGCAACCUAAGACGUGGGCAAAUAUUUACUGACCAAUUUACCUCUAAUAUUCAAAAGUAAAAGUAGUAUUUAUGUUUUUCACAAAGAUCGCGAAAAGAUUAUUUUUUCAAAUAUUUGAAUACCCUAAAAGUUUUCAAAUGUUUAAGAUUAAGAAGAGUCAAACUGUUAGUUUCAAUCAUUUCAUUGAAAAAGUAAAAUUAAAAAUCAGCAUGUAUGGAAUUUCUUCUUAAUGGUGCACCUGUGACCAAAACUCUCAACAAACAUCGAAUAUCUUGUCGAAUCAAAAACUCUAAAAGAGCUUUUUGGCACGCAAAGCUCAUUACCUUUAAAGGAAAACUGGCAUGGAUUGAAUAAGUACCAUGAGCUCAGUGUUUUUGAUUAAAGAUGAUGGACGAGAACUCCCCAUUUAACUAAUGGAGUUCUUUCAUCAAAUUGAAGCUAAGAACCUAAGAGUCAAGAACAAACAAGCAUUUAAUAUCUUCUUGUUAGUGCAUCUACUAAAACCUUAGUUUUGCUAGGUUUAUAUUUCAAGGCGAAAGAAAUAAUUAAAUUUUUUUUACCCGGUUGGCAUAUCUUGAAUUGAGAUUGUGUUGGCUACUAAUAUAAGGAGAGCAUCAUGAUUCAACUGAAGAACAAACUGUUUAGGCCACUAUUUAUGACUGUAGUAAUCAAGAGCUCUCAUGAUGGCAUAGAACUCUUUGCCAUAAGAGGAAAAGUUCUUCCUUAACCCCAUUAAUUUCUCACUAAAAAGAUUUUUGGGCUUGUAAAAGAACAACACUGAUGCCAACUCCACUCACAUCACAUUCUACAUCAAAUAUUUUAUCAAUACCUAGAAGGGCAAGGACAAGAGACCUAUAAAGAUUUUGUUUGAUGAUUCAAAGGCACCAUAGUAGCCUUGGACCAUUCGAAAGAUCUCUUGCUCAUGCAUUUAGUAAUGGGAGCCAUGAUGGCGUUGAAAUUCUUCAUAAGUCACCGCUAGAAAGAGGCAAGACCAUGGAAGCUCUUUACAUAAGAAAUGGACUUAGGGAUUGGCCACGUCUACAUCAAUUCCACCUUGGAUUGAUCAAUGAAGGUCCCAUUUUUUGUAAAAUUCGUAGUGAAGGAAUUCAGUGCUUGAAGAUAAGAACCAACGUUUUUCCAUCUUAGCAAUAGGUUUUCCAUAGCGUAAAUGAGAAUAUCAAACUUACAUUGCCCAAUGGACAUUAUAACCAGACCGAUCCAAAGUUAGGAGGAUAAUAUACAACUAACGGCAAGAGAUGCAAAAGAAUGGCGAAAGUGAAUCUUACAAGUGAGGUGAUCAUCUUUCCUCUCACUCCAGCACUUCAAGUAUCAUGUUGGCAAGACUAGGACUCUCAUAAGAAGAGAUCUUUAAGUAGGGAAACGGAAGUGCAUCGACAGCUUAUCCGAUGUCAUGGAAGUCGGACAAGCUUGUUGACAGCAGAAUCUAAAGCAUCAACAUUCCUUCUCAGAAUUUUUCUGAAGCAAUGUCAAGGAAAACACAAAUGAUAGCACAAACCUUUAAUUCAACUGGGGGAAAAAAAAAAAACGAAACUGUGUGGCUUUUACUUUCCAACGAAUGGGGUCGCUCGUUUGUAAGAAGUAAAAUGAUGCUUUUCAAUAAAUUUCUAAGUUCACGGGACAAAAAUGUGUUCAGGACAAACACUGCAGCAACGAUAAAGACUUUUUCGACGUGCGGACCCCUGGAGUGCCAUAACUUUGGCCAAAGGGACACUUAAGUGCCAUAACUUACGAAAGGUACACUUAAGUGCCACAUUUUAAGAAAAGUGGGACACCUAAGUGCCAUCUCCGGCGAAGUUGGCCGGAAAUCAUACGUGGCAUUAAAAUAUUAAUAUUUCUCGCUGAUGUGUCUCGCCGGAGAGCUGAAUCAGCUCGAAUUCGGCCAAAACGACGUCGUUUUGACAUCAUUCGAAUUUUAUAAUAAUAUAAAAAUUAUUUAAAUUAAAUUUAAAAAUAAAUUUAUUUAAAACAUUUUUAAAAAAUUUAGAAACUUUAAACAUUAAAAAAAAAGAAUUACAAAAUUACAAAAAAUUUACAAAUUUACAAAAAAAAUUAAAAAAUUACUAAAAAAUUUAAAAAAUUUACAAAAAAAAUUUAGAAAGUUACAAAAAAAUUACAAAAAAUUACAAAAAAUUUACAAAAUUUACAUAAAAUUUAAAAAAUUUAGAAAAAAUUUUAAAAAUUUAAAAAAAUAAUUAAAAUUUUAAAAAUUUUAAAAAUUUGCAAAAAAUUUUUAGAAAGUUACAAAAAAUUUACAAAAUUUAUAAAAAAAAUUUACAAAAUUUACAUAAAAUUUACAAAAUUUACAUAAAACUUACAAAAUUUACAUAAAAUUUAAAAAGUUUACAAAAAAUUCAAAAAAUUUACAAACAAUUUUAGAAAGUUACAAAAAAUUUAAAAAACUUACGAAAUUUACAAAAAUUUAAAAAAUUUACAAAAAAUUUCAGCCCUCAACCGGCACCCUUUUCUUCUUCUUUUUUAAAUUAUUUUUUUGUAACUUUUUUAAUUUUGCAAAUGUUUUUAAUUUUUAAAAUUUUAUUUUUAAAAUUUUUAAAUAAAUUUAUUUUUAAAUUAAAAUUAAUUAAUUUUCUAAAAUUUUUAAAAUUUUUUUAAAUUUUCUAAAAUUUUUUGAAUUUUUUUUUAUUUUUUUAACUUUUAAUUUAUUUUUAAUUUAUUUUUAAUUUUUAAAUAUUUUAUCAAUUUUUAUAGAUUUUUAUAAAUUUUUAUAGAAUUUUAUAAAUUUUUAUAAAAUUUUUACAAAAUUUUCUAAAUUUUUUUAAAUUUUUAAAUUUUUUAAAUUUUUUUAAAUUUUUUUAAUAUUUUAGUUGUUUGAAAUUUUUUAAAUUUUUUAAAAUUUUNNNNNNNNNNNNNNNNNNNNNNNNNNNNNNNNNNNNNNNNNNNNNNNNNNNNNNNNNNNNNNNNNNNNNNNNNNNNNNNNNNNNNNNNNNNNNNNNNNNNAAAUGAAAGAAACUCAUGCAUGAGCCUGGUGAACUGAUUAUUAUUUUUGAAUCAGACUAGUGCUCUUUUCGCGCUCAGAUAGGGUUAGUUUCAAUGAUUACGCUCAAAUCUUGAUCUUCAUCGUCAUGAUUACGCAACCCAAUUCUCUCUCGUCCACCCAGAACGGCCGAACAUAUCACUUUCAACCCCACCACUUUUGCAAAUUGGCAUCAAAACCCCUUCUUUUUCUGGGGUCCUUCACGUAGAUAUUUGUCCCCAUCACGCAAUUUAAAUUUCCCACUAUAUGCUGCGCUGUCCUUUUUCACCGCCCCUCGUCACAUCAAUCCCUUCCCUAUGCUACAGCUAUUACAUGCUCGUCCUCCUAAGAAAAAGUGGCACUAUCAUCGUCGGGUUCAAACAUAAAGGGACACAUGGACAGUGAUCGCAGCUAGGGGUCACUUCGACCCAGAACUGUUGAUUGCUUUAGUUGGUGAGACCUUUUGAAAUGAUGCGUCCGGAGAAAGAGAAGACACGGAGUUGGGGCUGGUCAUGGAGUGCGCGAGAGAUCGACGCGUAAAAAAAGGGUUGAUUCAAGCAAGGUCAAACGUACGAAAAGGAGAUCACAUUUACAACCUGCGCCCGCUAGGGCGUCCGUAUCUGGAGUUUUACAGAAAGUUAAAGACUCAUGAUCAUGCAUGCAUGCUGCGUGAAACUUGUCAUGAUGACUUAAGCUAUUCCUUGAAGAUGUUUUUCAUAGAUCCUCCGAAAAACCCUUGAAAGCGUUUCUGGGUUUUAUGAGUAGGGAAUGUGUAGUUAAACUACUUCAAAAUUGGACUCGUUGCCUAUGUUUUAUCCCUGUGUGGAUGGGUUGAUUGCCAAGAAAAAACCCCAGUUGAAUGUGUAAUUCUGUUUGGCCGAGAGUUUAGUAAUAUCACUUGAUUUGAGUUUGAUUUUAUGUGACUUCAUGCAAAGAAGAAAUUCUACUCCCAGGCAAGAAGAUUGAUAGCUAAUAACUGACCCUUGGGUACACUGAGAAUUUGAGACAAGCAAUUGAUAUUAAUGACAAGUUACUCAGAUAUUCGAUCAUGAACAAAUGGAAUUGGACAAUUCUUGAUGACAAAGAAGCUCAAUUCUCCGCAUACACCACCGAGUACAAAUAAUUUCAUUGGAACAGAAGGGACUUAUCUUCGUCCUGUACAUGAGAUCUAGCUCUUCUCAAGGAGCAGUUCCACUUUGGAAAAAAAAAAGGAUAUAUAUAUAUAUAUUAUAUAAGAAAAUAAUGAAACCAAAAAAUUAGUUCGAAUGUCAUGCAUCCGCUCUCGGUCAUCAAAAUUCGAUUACUUUCAGCUCCUGUUCCCAUUUUUAUAUCAUCGAAAAUUGCCAAACUAAUCCGCAAACUAGAGAUUCGGACGAAACCUGAAGUUUAGUUGCACAUCAUCAUCAUCAUCAAGAGCUGUUUCUGUGCUCUUGUCUUUUAGCGCAAUUUUUUUCGCUGGUACGAAUGUUUUAUUUAUAUGAGAUAGCUGUCGACAAACUCGUCACGAACCUCAAAAAUAACCAAACCAAACUCUCAGAUUGGAUUCUCCGUCGCACUCAAAGUAGGGGUGUCUCUGAUUUGGUCCUACCUGAGAAAUGAUGCAUAGACCCUUAUCGGUCNNNNNNNNNNNNNNNNNNNNNNNNNNNNNNNNNNNNNNNNNNNNNNNNNNNNNNNNNNNNNNNNNNNNNNNNNNNNNNNNNNNNNNNNNNNNNNNNNNNNUCGCCGGAAAAUUGACACGUCAGCAUUUUGGCCGGAUUUUGGCCGGAUUGGCACUCAAGUGAUCCAUUUUACUCCGAUUUUGGCACUUAAGUGUACCUUUCGUAAGUUAUGGCACUUAAGUGUCCCUUUGUGCAAAGUUAAGGCACUUGAAGUGUUCUUUUGCCAGACUUUUUCCAUCUAGUCAAGGAUACAAUUGUGUCGCUAGACUUUCCAUGCCUUUCAUUUCUUCAUUUAAUCUGCAAUAACAAGAAUCCAAGCCAAAAAACUUACUGACACUAGCAAACAUCGAUUACUAAAGAGCAAAAUGUGACCAAAUUCCAAAUAGCAACAACUUAGUAUAUAAUGAAUAGUCUAAAAGCUAGAAUGGUGUUAGCAACGGGCUCUUCAGUUAAAUUAAUGCACAUCCUUUGCUCUUGAUUCAAGAAGCUAAUAAUCUAAUGUUCCAGUCGCACCAGGAAAUCACUCGCAUUCUCUCAUUGAAAAUAGGAAUUUUUAUGUGAAGAGAACAUGCAAAAACCUCACCAUUAGUUUCCACAGAAAUUUUUUUCUUGAGUAUGACUCAUACUCAUGUAUCAUCACUUCGGGCUUGACACCCGUCUGGUGCAUCAUUGGCUCGUCGGGACGAAAGCUGCAGGGACGUUGUGUUUAAUGGAGGAGAGGAGGGACGACGGAGAAAUCGAGAGCGCGGAGAAAUCGAGAGCGCGGAUCACUGCUGGGCGAAGCAGAGGUUAUGGCGGGUGGUGGCCGACGCGAGGGGCGGAUAGCAGCGGUGAGAUGGCGAGAGGAACUAGAGGCUGUGGCGGGUGGCAGUCGGCGCGAGGGGCGAACAGCAGCGGCGAGAUGGCGAGAGGAACCAAAGGCUGUGGCGAGUGGCGGCCGGCACGAGGGGUGGACAGCAGCGGCGAGAUGGCGAGAGGAACCAAAGGUUGUGGUGGGUGGCGACCGGCGCGAGGGGCAGACGCCAACAGCGAGAUGGCGAGAGGAACCAGAGGCAGCCGUAGAAGAAAUUGAAGAGAAGUGAGAUGAGAGUCGAGCUCGAGAAGGUGAGAUCUGAUUCUGACCUAGGUUUGUUUUUAGUAAUUUUUUUUUAAUAUUAAAAGGAACCGAUUCGGUCCAGGCGGGCGGGCAGGUGGAUCCACCCAUGGAACCGGGAACCGGACCGGUUCCCUCAAGAUCCGUCGGUUCCGGGCGGUUCCGGUCUGAUUCUGGGCAGUCCGGGCGAUUCCCAGGUAUUUUGCACACCCCUAAGGGCUACUUAAGCACAAGCAUAGAUCAAAGGACUUACUUCUGCCUCAGUUUCUGAGUGCGGGACACCUGGAGUGCCAUAACUUGGCACGCCGGGACACUUAAGUGCCAUAACUUUAAAAUGGUACACUUAAGUGCCAUCAUCGGAGUAAAAUGGGACACUUAAGUGCCACUCCGGCGAAAAUCCGGCCAAAUGGCUGACGUGGCGACUUUCCGGCGAGCUUGGUCCAAAACGGCGUCGUUUUGCAUGCUGACGUGGCGGAGAAAAUGCAAAAACGACGCCGUUUCGCGUCUACGUGUAAAUAAUAGUAUAUAAAUUAAUUAAAUUAGAUUUAAAAUAUUCAAAAAUUUUAAAAAAAUAAGAAAAAUUUUAAAAUUUUAAAAAUUAAGAAAAAUUUUAAAAUUUUAAAAAUUUUAAAAAUUAAGAAAAAUUUAAAAAUUUUAAAAAUUUUAAAAAUUAAGAAAAUUUUAAAAAUUUUAAAAAUUUUAAAAAUUAAGAAAAUUUUAAAAAUUUUAAAAAUUUUAAAAAUUAACAAAAAUUUAAAAAUUUUAAAAAUUUUAAAAAUUAAGAAAAUUUUAAAAAUUUUAAAAAUUUUAAAAAUUUUAAAAAUUUUAAAAAAUUAGAAAAUUUAAAAAUUUUAAAAAUUAAGAAAAUUUUAAAAAAUUAAGAAAAAUUUAAAAAAAUUAAGAAAAAUUAAAAAAAAUUAAGAAAAUUUUUAAAAAUUUAGAAAAUUUUAAUUUUUUUUAUAAAUUAAGACAAUUUUACAUUUUUUAAAAAUUAAGAAAAAUUAUAAAAAAUAAAAUUAUAAAAAAAGUUAUAAAAAGGGGGGGGGGGGUGGGAGGCCCGCACGGGGGCGGCUCCCUUGCCGCCCCCCGGGGGGGUCCCUCACCGGGCGGCAACUUCAACCGGCCGGCGCCUCCCCCCCCCUUUUUUUUAAUUUUUUAAAUUUUUAAAAAUUUUCUAUUUUUCUUAUUUUUCUAAAAUUUUUUAAAAUUAAAAUUUUUAAAAUUUUCUUAUUUUUUUAAAUUUUUUUUAAUUUUUUAAAAUUAAAAUUUUCAUAAUUUUCUUUUUUUUUUAAUUUUUUAAAAAUUUUUAAAAUUAAUAUUUUUAAAAUUUUCUUAUUUUUCAAUUUUUUUUAAUUUUUUAAAAUUAAAAUUUUAUAAUUUUUUUUAUAAUUUUUAAAUUUUUUAAAAUUAAAUUUUUUAAAAUUUUCUUUUUUUUAAUUUUCAAAAUUUUUUAAAAUUAAAAUUUUUAAAAUUUUCUUUUUUUUUUAAUAAUUUUUUUAAUUUUUUGAAAUUGAAAAUUUUAAAAUUAAAACUUUUUAAUUUUUUUAAUUUUUUUUUUAAUUUUUAUGCUGAUUUGGAGCUCCGGCGAGCCACGUAGGCAAAUAAUAAUAAUAAAAUAUUGCCACGUAGGAUUUCCGGCAAGGGUCGCCGGAGGUGGCACUUAAGUGUCCCAUUCGAAAAAAAAAGUGGCACUUAAGUGUACCGUUUUGAAGUUAUUGCACUUAAGUGUCCCGGCGUGCCAAGUUAUGGCACUUGUGGUGUACUUCUGCCCUCAGUUUCUUCAUGCAAGUCAGUAUAAUUCAAAUACUCAACCAUUCAAUUCAAACCAAAUCAAUUCAAGCCAUCGAUCAACUGAAUUACUCAAUUCGAUACAUUCAUUACCAUCUAUAAAUUUGAUCGAUUUGAACACUGCUCACCUAAGCUGAAAUAGAUGGUCUAGCUCACCAAAGUUGAUAUAUAUAUAUCACCAAAGCUGAUGUCUAUAUUGUUCACCAAAGUUGCUAUAUCAAUUAUUGCUCAUCGAAGCUGCUAAAUAACUGUACUGCUCACCGAAGCUGAUAUCUAAAGUGCUCACUGAAGCUACUAAUGUAUUAUUGCUCACCGAAGUUGCUAUAGAUCUAUAUUGGUGUUAAUGCUCCCCGAAGCUGUUAUAGAUCUAUAUUGCUCAUCUAAGCUGAUCAAUGCUCACAUAAGCUAAACUACGAUAAUUUACUCCUAGCCAAGGAUAUUGUGCUUCGCACAUUAAUUUCUCAAUUAAAUACCCAACUUGGCCUAAUUUCAUUGUGUUAAAAUGCACCCGAUAAAAAUAAUUGUGUGUGGGUAUACGGUCGACUUGAGCAAAAAAUAUAAUAUCUUUAUUUUAGAAAAUCCCACCAUUUAUAUAGUGUCUGAAAAUAUUUUUGGCGUUGUAAACCUGUGGCAUCCCAAAAUUCAAAGCCAAGACAUAAGGUGUGUUAAAGUCUCUAAUUAGGUGAUAGAAUUUCCAUGGCUUAUGCUUUAGCCAUUAGCCUUUUUAAUUAGAUGAUUUGUGCAUAUGAUUGUGGAAAUUUAAAUUUGAUAGAUUAAUAAUUUAUGCUUGGCCAUGUACUUUAUAAAUUAAAUUCCAAUAACCAAGAUGUCCCAAGACUUUGGCCAAGAUGAAAAUUGAAAUUUAAAAAUAUUUAUAGAAGAAAUUCAAAAAAAAGGGGAAAAGGGGUUAAUUUUCGAAUGGGCCUUAGGCCCAUUGGCCUAAGCCUUUAAUGGGCCAAGAUGAGCGGCCCAAGAGGGGAAGUCGACCGGCCCAAUAGAGGCCCAAGGGAAGUGGUCGCCAGCCAUAGAGGAGCCCAAGCCCAAAAGCCCAACUCCAAGGCCCAUAAUGCAUGUAGUUGGACAAGUGGCAAAGGGGAAGGCCAUGCAUUGGUUGGUUUUUAGGCAAUCUCAUGAUUGCUAAUCAUGAGAAGUUGGGGAAAUAAGAAGGAAGAGAGAGAGGGUGGCCGGCCAUUUGCUCGCCCAAGGAGAGAGAGAGAGAGAGAGAGAGAGGUGUGCGAGAGAGGAGGAGCGGCCGAGAGAGAGGAGGAGGGAACCGCCGUCCGUUCGCCGUCCGUCCACCGUGUUCGCCGCCGUACGCCGUCAACCGUCCGUCCUAGAGGCAAGUGGAAGUCAUCUAGCUUCUCUUGCAUGUUUGUAUGUUGUUUGCAUGUUAGAUUUUGGGCGUUUAAGUGAGAAAAACCGAGGUAUGGUUGGCUUGUUCUUAAACUGCAUGACUGUUCUUGUUCGGACCGUGUGAGUCAGAAACUUGUUUGAGCUUGAAUGUGUGUUUAGAGUCAGAUUUUGGCUUCUAUUUCUUCAUGAGAGUUGUAUCUAACAUCUUGAACUACAACAUACUGAAAUUUCGUGGAAAAUGAUGGAUAUUUGAUGGGUUAAAGUCUUAUUCUACGGAGACCUCAGAUCUGGAGAGUUUUCACUGACCUCUUGCUAGAUUCGUGAUUGCAUGUUGGUUUGUGAUGAGAAUAUCACUUCUAUUUCUUCAUGAAAGUUGUAGGAGACAUCUUAAAAUACAACAUACUCAAAUUUUAAGUGAAAUGAACAAGUAUAGCCUAGUAAAUCGACUAGAUCUUGAAGAUGAUGGUUCUGGUGAUGUAUUCCGAGAUACCCGAGACUUCAUGGACAUAGAUGAUGACUAUAAUCUGGUUAUUUGACCUAGAUCUAUUCAUGAAACUUGUAGAGGACACCUUGAUGUAUAACAUAUAUAAAUUUCAGAGGAAACUAAAGAGAAUAAGUAGGUGAAAUCUCAAUAUUUCGGAGAUGUGUACACUGGACGAUGCGGUAAUGGAUCCAGAAGCUUCGUGAGGUUGUAGAAAAUAAUCUAAAAAUAAUCUGGCCUGGAGUUCUUCAUGAAAAUUGUACGAAAAUAUCUUGGCUAUCAUUAUGUAAAAUUUCGUAAUUUUUGGAGGCCGUAUGGAUAUUUUAAUCGAAUUUAUGCGGAAACUGUGCAUUCUGGUUAUUAUCCGAAUAUUAUGUGCUAUUUUGUAGAAAUUGUGAAAUUGUGUGAAAUUCAAUUUGGCCAUGAAUUUUGCAUGAAAUUGUCAUCCUAUUGGUUUGUUUAAUUAUUGCUUGAAUUUUAUGAUUUUGGGAAAUUAUAGAUAUUGAAUUUAAUAUUUAUUUAUGAUAAUAAAAAUAAAUAAAAAUAAAAAUAAUAAAAUAAAAUGGAUUAUUUUAUUGGCCAUAAAUUCCAUUGAAUUUAUUAAUAAAUAAUUAUACAUUGUUGCAUGUAUGAUAAGACAUUGGUGUAUGUAUGACCAUGAAUUGUGAUGCAUGUGUGAAUCAUAUGUCAUGUUAAAAUGAGAUCAAAAUGAUGAUAAAUGUGGAUAAUGAUAAGUGAGUAAGUGGUUGUGGUGGAGGAUGAGACUGGAAUGUACAGAGAUGCAUUGCUGGAUUCCCUGAGAGAUUUAGGAUGCCCGGAAUGUGGGGGGCCGGAAGCCUUGUCGGAGGUGUUUGCCCGAAAGGAAUGCCUCGCGAUGCCAGGAUUUGGGGUGCGGGAUGCCUGGCCAGGGAGUGUAAAUGCCGGAAGCCCUAUCGGAGGUUUCUGCCCGAAGGGAAUGCCUCGUGAUGCUAGUUGAGAUGCGAGAUGCCCGGAAUGUGGGGGGCCGGAUGCCCGGUGGCCUGGGAGGCUAAAUGCCGGAAGCCUUGGAGGUCUUUGCCCAAGGGGAUGAUAAAAUUGAUGAAUUGAGAAAUGGGUGAUGUGGUGAUCAAGAUUAAAAUCUAAAAAGUGGAAAUUUAAUCAUGAUAUGAUAUGCAUGAUGACAUGCAUGAUAAUGAUGAUGAUGAUAUGUGAUGUGAAAUAAUGAUGAUCACCCAUGAUAUGAUAUGCAUGAUGAUGAUGAUGAUGAUGAUGAUAUGUGAUGUGAAAUAAUGAUGAUCAUCCAUGAUAUGAUAUGCAUGAUGAUGAUGAUGAUGAUGAUAUGUGAUGUGAAAUAAUGAUGAUUACCCAUGAUAUGAUAUGGAUGAUGAUGGUGAUGAUGACAUGUGAUGUGAAAUAACGAUGAUCACUUAUGAUAUGGUAUGCAUGAUGAUAUGCAUGGUAAUGAUAAUGAUGAUGAUAUAUGAUAUGGCUCGAUGACAUGUGUAAUGAUGACAUGUAUGAUGAAAUGAUAUUAUGAUGAUGAUGACAUGUAUGUUACGAUGAUGAUACACAUGAAUGUGUUAUGUAUUGGUAUGAUGAUGCAUGAUAGUAUGCGCAUGGCUUCAAGGUAAGUAAUGCCUGUAAUGCAUGUAUGAUUGCAUGAUGCAUUGAGUUGUUAUUGGAUUUCCCUAUCUGCUGAGUGGUUGUACUCACCCCUUUGGGGACCCACAUUUCAGAUUAGCAGUAUGCUGCUUCCUGCCGUCACGCGGGGGGUAUUUUACGGUCUACCAUCCGAUGUAGAGGUUGAGUGUGCUGAGAUAGACUGUCCCUCUAUUCUCGGACUUACUUUUAUUCAAGUACGAUGUCUAGUGAUGUACGACAUAGGCCUGGCUGGGGGCCCUGUCAUUCAGGAGUUCAUAUCUGUGCACGUUCGUCGGGAUGGAGCGAUGCGAGGGAUGUUGCCGCCGCCACCACCUGAUGCACUGGGUUGGGUGUGAGACCCGCGCGCGAUGAGUAGGAGCUGGAUCUUUUUGAAUAUAGAUAGCCGACACUUUUGAUGGGGGUUGUGCACGUAUGAUGUUAAGGGUCGAGGGUUCUUUUUGAGGUUUUAGGCUGGACGUGGCUGAGUCCUAGCUUUUCCUUUUUGUUGUACCGACCUGAAGAGAAUCCCAUCUUGAAAUAUAUGUAAAUAAAGUGUCGUGGCCUGUUUAUAAAAAUGAUGGUGAUUAGUAGUGUGUAUUUGUAUCAUGGUUGGUAGGGGGAGAGACGGUGAUAUUUUAAUUUGCUCCCGCUAAUGAGUCGCGCUGGAACCGUUUUAAAAAAAAAAAAUGUGUCUGCGUAUUAGGACACUUCUUCGAAAGACAGAAAGGUAAUAAGGUGUAAUAUUGGCGCUGGUGACGACCUGCGAAGGGUUCGGGGUGUCACAAAACCGACGCCCCGAUAAUUUCUAAUUAAUUAUUGAAAUUAUUCAAUUUUGGGAUAAUUACCCAAAAUUACAAACAACACUCAAUUUGUACAAUCUAGCAUUCAAUUAAAUAAACCAAUCACACAAUUGCAAUCAACAUGAAAGUCCGAUCAUCGAUUAUCCCGGUCUAAUUUCCAGAAAAAUUAAUUAAUUAAAUAAUUGCCAAAAUUAAUUAAUUAAAUACCAAUAAAUGCCAUAAUUAUAAACUUAGGCCGGAAAAGCCUAAUUAAAUGCCGAGAUGGGCCUGGAAAAUUUCCGAACCUAUCUAGAUAAAUACUACGGAUUAUCUACUUGCUAAUUACACUACUCUAACCACCUAACAUGCAUAAAUGAGUAAUUAAAUCACUAAUCCAUUCUAAGUAACCACCUUAUCCCUAAUUAACUUAAACUAAUCAACCCUUAAGCAUAAUUAACUCUCUAAGUAGAGUUUGAGUAAACUCAUCGGAUUUGCGAGCCGGUGAGUCCACGGCGAUGGCGACGCAGAGAUGGGUGAUAAAUUCUGAAGUGACGGCACCAACGGGGACCAAACUGAGGCCGAAAUCGGCCCCGCAAAGCUCACGGUUGAGUUGAGUUUCUGCUUCUGCGUUGCGGGUCUUGUUGGUCGUGGCUUUGAGAGAGGAGGACAUGGGCUGGACGUGCAUGGGCUGAGUUGUGGACAUCGGUGGAAGCAAGAGAAGGUCGUGGGGUUGGAUCGGUGGAAGUGGGGCUGCAGGUGUCACUUUGUUGGGCUGUUCGAUGAGGGGGGGAAAGAUCGUGGGCGCUGCUGGUGGGAGGCACGCGGACACGUUAGUGUGAAGGCCUGUGGUCCAUGGGCUGCUGAAGUUGACUAGUGAGGUGGCAGCUACAAACUUCGGUGGAGGAGCUGCCUUGAAGGAAAGAAGACCAAGCUGUAGGGAAAUGGGGGCAAAAGAUGGUGGAGAUGGCAGAGAACGUGCAGGGGAAAAUGAAAGUGGAAGAGAAGUCGCUAAGGGGGUGUCGAUGGAGUGGGUGCGGGCGAGAGAGAGAGAGAGAGAGAGAGAGAGAGAGAAAGAAGAAGAAGAAGAAGAAGAAGAAGAAGAAGAAGAAGACCUCGGUGCUUUGCUGGCAGAAGAGGAAGAGAUAAGGGUGGGCAGAGGGUGUCGGCCAAGGGGAAACAAACGUGCAGAAAAAGAAAAGAAAAGGGAGAGAGAAGGAAUGUCGGCCAGGGGGACCCCUUUCAUGCAUGGGCUUCGAACGAAGAGAGAGAGAGAGAGAUGUGCAAAUAGGAGAGGGGAAUGCAGCUGGCGUCCGAGAGCUGUGAAUGGGAGGUUUGAAGUAACAAAAAUAUAAUGGCUACCAUUCCCUACGAUCUACUGUAGAUGUCAAGGUACAAGAUAUUGCAUCCUCCUCCUACCACCCACCCCGACAGCUUUGGGACAAGAUUUGGCAAAUGAAAACCCCACCGAAGAUACGCAUCUUUAUGUGGUCCUUAUGCCACAACGCUCUAUCAACAAAGGACAAUCUUUAUCGCAGGAAAAUAAUCACUGAUCCUACGUGCCAGAUUUGUCAUCAUCACACCCCAGAGACUACGGAACAUAUCUUUCUGCAUUGCCCAUGGACGCGCAAGAUUUGGUCUCAUUCAGCAGUUAAACUAAAUCCAACAGACUUUAAUACAAAUCGCAUGGAUGCUUGGUUAGCAAAUUUGAUAUGCAAGAAGAAGGCCAUACCUGAUUUGGAAACCCUGGCACAUAUCCUCUGGCACCUCUGGAAAUCCCGAAACCUUUUUGUAUUUCGUAGGGCUGUUCCUGAUCCACAACAAGUUAUUUUGGCAGCUUUUGCAUCUGCCCAAUCUGCUUGUCGAUCCCAUGAAGUGUGGACGCGCUCUUCCCCCAACCUCCUGACCUCAGAGCACCUAUGGAAGCCUCCGGAUCCUGCCGAGAUAAAGAUUAAUAUAGAUGGAGCCUUUUCUUCCACAUCAAAGGAGGGAUCUGUGGCUUCUAUUUGGCGUGAUCACUCUAGUCGACUAAUCAAUGGAUCUACACAGACUGUUCUAGCAACUACGGCGUUGCAAGUAGAAACUCAAGCCCUUAUUGUCACCUUACACGAUUUGCUACAAAAGAAAAUGGAAAGGAAGCAACUCAUUGUGGAAUCUGACUGCUGGGUGCUUGUCCAUGCUCUGCGGAAUCCAUGCUCGACACCAUGGGAAGCUCGCUCUCUCAUCUCUGAAGCUGCGGCACUCAUCCCUUGCUUCUCUUGGUUACGCAUACUGUUCUGCAGGAGGGAAGCGAAUAGAGUAGCCCACUGGGCUGCAUAGGCCCAUGAACACCGAAGUCUAGCCCAUAAUUGGAUCUUUUCUCCUCCACCGCUCCUGUUGGAUUUGCUUUGUACUGACAUUAUGCCCUAUGGUGGCACUUUUGGUUGAUAUCAAUCUACGGUCCUCUGUUUUCGUCAAAAAAAAGUAACAAAAAUAUCUUGAAUGGGUGUUUAAUCAUCCUCAAUUUCAGCUUACCUUCAACCAACAAAAUCAAUUGAUCAACCAAGACCAAUUUCUACACCAAUUGUCCCAAUUGAAGUCCAAAUGAAGACCAAAAUGUAACAGCCCCUCAGGCCUACGAAUUUUCUCCAAUUGAACUUCCAUUUCUUCAUCCAUUUCUCAAUUUGAUGUCCAAAUUUGCUGAGGAAGAAGCCCACACAAGUUUCACAACUUCCCUUCACCAAAUAGCUCACUAAGGAGGCCAAACGUACCUUCAAUUUGGCUCAUUUGAAUUCUCGUUCUUUUCCGAAUCGUCCGAAUCGAUUUUCCGUAAAAAUCCUGAACUCGUCAAAAAUUCCUCAAAAGAUGAGUCGACAUUCUUAAAAUAAAUUGUGACCUAAUAGAACUUUCUAUUUCUGAAAUUGGUUUCAAAUUCGCAGUUAAUUUCAACUGAACACGAUUUUAGCGUGACCCAACCUACCGGGUAACUUUAGGAAUUUUUAGUGUAAUGGACCCGUGGUCAAUUUUCUUCGAGCCACAACGUACCUCUUCGACACAUUGGCGACCCUCGGUGUUCGUGAAAAUCUUGAGGUUUCAACUAUGGAUACAAGGUACCAAAACGACAGAAAAAUUAGUCUAGUAUCGAUCGACGAGAAUUUUGCAAUUUAGUGAAAUCAUCCACGUUUAGCCACACAUCUUAGUCUAACCGACCUAUCUCUGAUCUCUAAUCGAUUUUUAAAUGUGCCGUAAUGACCUCUGUAGAUGAGCAUGGUCGAGUAGUCGCAAUCUGGUUGAAUUCUCAAGUCUAUUGCGUUAAAAUCUUUUAACGGCUUCACCGGAUAGACUAGUUAUUUUGUGAGUGGCCAUCUUGGAGAAUAACACUAUAUGCAUGUCGAUGAAAAGCCCAACUUAUCCAAUCGAAAUUAGAAUAUGAAAAUCAGAAUGUCACAUGAUGUAUUUCUGUCCCUUGUGAAAUGAGUAAGUGCUUUUAUAUGUCUAUCAUGCACAACUUUCUUAUCAAAUUGUCAAGGACUCCACAACAAUAAAGGGUAUGCAUCCACAGAAGUAACAUCAUAUAGAACCUAAUCUUGGUGACUUUUACCAAUUGAAAAUUGAUACAAGAACUUGUUCUUGAAGGUCAAGCCAUUAAAGAUUGUACAAUUGAGGAUGUUGAGAAGUGUGUAGCUUCAACUUUUCUAUCUAAGUUGUGGAUGUUACAUUGGUGCAUCUCCUAUUAUCGAUAAUCAAUUUACACCACCUUCUCGUUAAUGGCGCAACGGGUUCUAAAGAUGUUCUUCCUUUACUCUUUCAUCUUUGGAGCAACGCCCUCUAGAUAAUCAACAAGUCAUUUUCAUUAGCUUGUUCCACAAUCUUAUCUUGCUCUUUGAAUUUGAAUUCAAUCUGAUCUGGACCUAACUCAACUUUUUGAAGCUCCAAGUCAAUUUUCUUCAUCACUUCUGAAAGGUUAUGAUUCUCCGGUUAGGACUUUCAACUUGCAAAUGUCCAUAACCAUGAUACUUGAAGCAUUUCCAAUUUGCGCCUCAAAAUAUUUUGUGGUAUUCUUUGAUAAAUCCCAUUGACUUCUCUUUUUCUUUGUCCUUCUUCAAAGUAUUCUUAAUCAUAUUAGAAGAAGAACCCUUAAAGAAAAACGUCCCCUUUGUUGAAGGUUUCAUUGAAAAACUAUUGCCACUCUUUUUCUCUGUCCUUCUUUAAAGUAUUCUUAGUCAUGUUAGAAGAAGAACCCUUAAAGAAGGAUGUCCCCUUUGUUGAAGGUUUCAGUAAAAAACUAUUGCCACUCUUAGUUUUUUUCUCCACUUUUAUCACCGGCUUGCAAACAUCUUCAAAGAAUCAAUAUGGUUAAAACUCAACGAAAUUUGUGAUCUCCCUAUUCAUCACUUUGAAGAAGCAAGCGAUGAUUUGCUCUUGUAUUUUUGGAGAAGUUGUUCAAACUCCCUAAUAUAUCCUUCGAUGUUGAUCUCAUGUUGCUCGAGAGAAUUCAGCUUGAAAGAUAGAUCUUGCUUGUAGUUGUCAAGCAAGUCAUAAGCUUCUUGAAUUUUUCCCAAGAAUUGACUCUACCUUUUCUUUCCCUUAUUCUUUGAUUUUGCAGGUUUUCCCACUAUAGUAAAGCAUACUUUUUGAACUUAAGAAUAGCAAUAACAUCAUAUUUCAUCCAAGUAUAACUUGAUGUCAAAUAUUCAUUCAAUAGCAUUCAAUCAAUCAACAAAGUCAUCUGACUUGAGAUUAACUUCAAAUUUAGGCACCUAGAUUUGGAGUUUGUGGUCAUUAUCCUUUGUGCCUUCCAGUUCUUCUUUUAACCUGAUAAUUUGAAUAUGUAGAGUUGUCUCUAGUGUUGUUGGAUUCAUCAUUGGUGUUUAUAUUGGGUUUGGGAUUAGCAUGGCAUGGACGAUGAACCGAAGGUCUCUGUAGCUAUUCUUGUCUCACUUGAUUCUCUAGGAGAAUGAGGCUUCGCUCCAUUUGUCGUUGGAGAUCCUGUAAAGCAUGGUUAUGCUUUUCAUUGCGGGCUUGUUCCAAAUUUAAGCCUCUAAGAACUGGUUUAUCAUUAUUUUAGAACACAAAUAUAUAAGAUAGAUGAUAUAAGAAAUCAUUCAAAAUGAGUUCAACCUUAAAGCACAAAUACUAACUUCAUGCACGGUGAAAAUUAAAGGAUGAUAAACGUAUGAUGGAUAAGUGUAUGAAAAUGUGUUUUGAAUGAAGUAAGGUUGAAAUUAAAAAGUUCACCACCAAGACAAAAAAGGACAAUCCACCAACUAAGGAUGAAGAACUCAAGGUUCACAACCAAAGUGAAUUUAAUAAGAAAUCGAAUAUUUAUGUUCGUAUAUGUAAUUUCCAGUUUUUUCAGAGGAAAAUAAGUGUUUAAAGAAAAUAUUUUCUGAUCAGUGGAAAAUGUCCUUCUAAAUUGCGUAAUGAAUUUUCAAUCUGUCUCCCUCACACUCAUGUCCUCUCUUCGUUUUCCCAUCUAUUUCAUGCUUCCUCUCCUCCCUCUCUCUAGAGCCACUGCUUUGCCCCAUCUUUCUCACCCAACCUAGGUCUUCUUCGUCUCAUUCCUCAUCUCUAGAGCUAUUCCUCCUCCAUUGCUGCCUUACGCUUCUUUCUGUCCCAUGGAGACACGAUUUUUGAGAUAAUCACUGUAAUUAGUUCUUAUUUUUUGUAAAUUGAUUUCUUUGCUUAGCAGCUAAUUCAAGGGAAAGUGCAGAAACAAAUCUUCAAGUUUAGUGUGAUAGCAAUGUCUUACCAUUUGGCGCUAUUAGUAGUUUUGGGUAUUCGUCCAAUUUUUUUUUAUUUGGAUCUCCCCCUUCAUGUAUGGCUACCUGAUGCCCUAUGUAGUACGGACACUCUCCGGAAGCUUUCGUGUUGUGUCCGACACUCCGACAUGUGUUCGACAUGCUUCGACACGUCCCGACACGCUCCGACACGCGGUCAACGAGUGUCGAAAAAUCCGACACGUGGUUAACUCUCUCUGACACGCGAUUCCGAAAUGCAUGGGGUCAAAUUUUAAAAUUUCUAAUACUUGAGGGGUCAAAGUAUAAAUAUACACAAAAGAAGUAAUAAAAGAAGUAAUAAAAUUGCUAUAAAUAUACACGUACGGCGUCAAUUUUUUUUUUCUGUUUUGUUUUUUAGAAUUUUUUUAUUUUUUUAAAAAGUCUUUUACUAUGAAAGAAGUAAUAAAAAUGCUAUAUAUGAUAAAUGAAUAAAUUUAAAAAUAUCAUUUCAACAUUUUUCUUUAAACAAUGUUUUUUUCCUCUAAGUUUUGUGUAUUAUUGUAACAAAUUAAAAUAAUGAAUGAUAUUAUUUAAUAUUUUUCGUGUAAAUUAAUUCUAGGCUAUUAUUAUUAUUAUUAUAUAUAAAAAUAUAUUUAAUAUAUAACGUGUCGGAACGUGUUGAAAUUCUCUAUUUUUAAGAAAUGACGUGUCGGCGUGUCGUGUCGUGUCGUGUCACGUGUCCGUGUCGGUGCUACAUAGUUGAUGCCAUGGAAGACCUUACUCCCAUUUGGUUUCCUUCUUGACGAACAUUGUAGGGUUCUUUUGUUUUCUGAAUAUGGAUUGUGGUCUCUUCAUUCAUUCUGCAUUUCUAGAGCAGCUUGUGCUAUCCCAUGUUAUUAAUAUGAAACAGAGCCUUUUUGGUGUGAUGAUUGUAACCAGCUUAGGUGGUGGAUCACGCGUAGAUAAACUACAAUUAUAAGGGUGUUUUGGUCUAAAGGAUUCAAGGCAAAUAAAAGAUGCAUUGGUUUCAUUUUGGAGCUACUUUUAUUUUGUUGGUGUUUGAAAGAUAAUUGAACCUCGAAAGAUGUACAUUUUGAUUAGGAAAAAAAGGAAAGAUAACUCGACAAGUAUGCUUGUUUUGGGGAAGAGGUAUAGCCACAAUGCCAAAACUUGGUACGUGGAACAUUUAAAUGCCAAAGGUUAGGAAAUUAACACUUAAAUGCCACCUCUAGCAAACUCUAUCAGAAUUCCUACGUGGCAAUUUUUUUUAAUUAUUUUUGCUCACCUACAUGGCUCGCUGAAGAGCUGACUUAGCAAAUAAAUGCAAAAAUGACGUUGUUUUGCUGCGGAUUGAAAAUUUAAUACAAAAUUUAAUUAAAUUAAAAAAAAAAGGAAGGGCUUGGUGACCCCGGUCAACUGUCCCCCCCACCGUUGCCGACCCUUCCUAGCGAUUGUGGGGAGGCGGCUGUGGCGAGGGCUCAUCGCUUAGCCGUGUGCUUCCUCCCUCAUUUUCAUUUUUAUUUUUAUUUGUGGCACCCUCGAUUCGCUUGAGGUUGCCACAGGUAUCUAUUACUCGAUCUCCUAAACUUCACAGAUUGAUACCUUUUAAAUAGAGAUUUUUAUUUUUUAGGUCCCAGCGCAGCUCAUCAACGGAAGUAUAAACAAGUCUCACCAUCCCUUACUCCAAUAACAAUAAUGCAAUGCACACCACCUAAACUUCAAAUGAAAAGACAAAGCCGAGUCACUUUUAUUUAUAUUUUCACGAUGGAUAUUUCGGGUCGGUAUAGCAAAAAGGCCAAGAUGUCUAACUAUACUUGGCUAUAACUCAAAAGAGAACUCGACCCUACAUCAAAUAUGUACAACCCUCCAUCAACAGGCAUCGGCUAUCCCCAAAAAGUGUCAGUUCCCACCAGCUAUACGUGCCAUCACAUCCAACCCGGUGCAUCGGGCGACGGCGGCAGUAGCAUCCCUAGCAUCACUCCAUCAUGCCGGACAUGGACAGACAAAAACUCCUGGAUAACCGGGCCAUCAGCAAGACCCACAUCGUACAUCACCAAGACACGGACUUGGACAAACACUAAACCAGGGGCACCGACACAGAUGUGUUUCGUGCACUCCACAUCAACAUCAGUAGGUAUGCCAUAGUAGGUACCACGCACGACUGGUGAAAGAGGCAUAUUUCUAAUAAAAAAUGUUAAUCCCUAAAUGGGUGAGUACAACCACUCAGCAGUAAAGAUUCACCAAACUACACAAUGCGUCAAACAGAACAAUCAAUGUAUCAUGAAUAAGACACAUAUCAAUCAUGCAUAUAUCACCAUACGGCAUGCAUAAUUCACCAUGCACUUGUACUUAUAUCAUCAAGCAACCAUGUAUAUAUCAUUAUGUAGCGUGCAUAUACUACCAUGCACUCAUCAUUAAACAGCCAUGCAUAUAUCAUUAUGCAACGUGCGUAUCCCACAAUGCACUCAUCAUUAAAUAGCCAUGCAUAUAUCAUUAUGCCAUAUGCACACAUCCAUGCGCAUGAUUCAAUUCUCGAUCUUUAUAUUUCAAAUAGAUCACAUCAUUUUCUUCCCAAGGACCAAUGUUUGCAUCCCUCAAUUUAUCGCUCGGAUCCAACUUGGCAUCGCGAGGAGCCUCCGGCACACACACUCCGGGCAUCUCAUACUUCAACUAGCAUCACAAGGAAUCCCCCCGGCACACACCUCCAAGGCUUUCAGCACGCACACUCUGGGCAUCCCAACACUCUUAGGGCAUCCGGCACACACACUCCGGGCAUCCCGACACUCCCGGGGCAUCGUCAGCUCACACCUUCGAUGGUCUCGUUAUUAUCUCAAUUUAUAUUCACACAUGUAUCUCAAUUUCAACAUGGCAUUUGAUGUAAUAAUAUCAAGGGUCUCAACCAGCUUUUGAUGCCAUAUAACAUGUCAUAUGUCACAACAUAUGCAGCAAAAUCAACCACUCAAAAAAUUACAUCACAUGGAAAAUUCAUUUAUUUUUGAAAACGCAUCAAUUUUCCGAUAAAACAGAAUGCACUCCUUUAGUUAAAACUCUAGAAAAACUAGUAAAUGGUAUUAAUAAAUUUUGAAAACUUAACGUGUUAUACACAAGACCUAAAGGCAGAUAUCUCAUGAAAAGCACCAUACCAAAAGAAUCUCACACAAAACAGUACGGUCCAUGCAUCACCGUUUUCAAAAUUUCAACAUUUCAGCUUGCACAAUUUCCGAAAUAAUUUAAAUUAAAUACCCAAAUGAACUCCAAAAAUUCUAAAAUUUUGAUAUGUUAUAGAAAAGUCCUAAAGGUAAAUAUCUCAUGGAGAAAUCGAAAUCCAAAUCGUUCUAGAUUAAUAGAUAUAGACGAUUAAUUCCUCCUGUUCUUGGUGUCGUUUUUCCAGAUUAUCUUAUUUCAAAGGAAACUCGUUUCACCGACCUACAUAUGUCCGUUUCUUGUAAAUUUUUAGUAUGUUAUUCCUAAGAAUAUUGCAGAAAACUUUUAUUAAGGACACACGAUCAAAUUUUAAAUGGAUGAUUUUAUAAAAAAUCACAGAAUCAUACUAGGUUGAGGUAGUAUUUUCCCAGAUCCAGUUUCUUCAAAGGACAACGAUUUCACCGACCUAUUUUUGUUCAUUUCCUCUAAAUUUUUGAUAUGUUUUACCUCAAGAAGUCCUCUACAUCUUUUAUUAAGAAAUAAAAGUGAUAUUGUCACAAGAAAGCUACUUUACAGUCCACGAAAUCACUAAAGGUCAGCACAACAAAUUCCAGAUCUAAUUUCUCCAAAAGAAAAUUGGUUCACCAAGAAAUAUUUGUCCGUUUUAUCUUAAAUAUUAGUAUUUUACUUCUCAAGAUGUUCUCUACAACUUUCAUUAAGAGAUUAAAGUGAGAUUCCAACUAAAAAGUCGCAUGCAGCUCACAAACUCAUGAAGGGUCGGACUGAUUUUUCCAGAGAACAGCAUGCUAGGCCACAAAUUUCUCCCCAGGGCUUCGAAAUUUCAUCACUUUCACCGCAUCCGAAGUUAACCAUUUUCUACACACACAUCACAGCAAACAAAGGGUAGGUUAAUGGACUCUACUUGCCUCUAGCCCAAGCGAACACAGCAAGCAACGAAACGGAGGGGCAAGGCGGCUCGACGGUGGGACUCGGCGCACGCACGACAACGAACAGACCUCCUCCUUCCAUUUCGCACACACAGUCUCCCUUUUUCUCUCUUCCUUUCUUCCUUUCCUUUCUCUCUUUCUCUCCUGUCUCUCUUCGUGCGACACCCCUCUCUUUCUCUCCCUUUCCUCACUUAAUCCGCCCCCCUCUUCCUCUCUAAUUUUCUUCCUUUCAAUGAUUAACAAUCAUUGAACUUGCAUGCCAGCGUCACUUGGCUCUAAGGGAGAAACACUUGGCAAUUUUCAUGCAAGAGGGGCUUCAUCCGGCUGGGCUUGGGCCAGCCUUGGUCGAUGGCAGCUCCUCCUCCUUUAGGCUUCGCGAGCCAGGCCUAAAUGGCCGAAUGGUGGGGCUAUGGGCUGGUUUGGUUCUUAAUUAUCCAGCCCACCAUCAUUCCAAAUAAUCCCACCUUAAUUUCCUACUUAAAUAAAUACCUAAUCACAAAAUAAUAUGGCCAAAAACUUGCAACAUUAAACCAUAAUAAUCAAAUCUAUAAGGUGCAUAGUCAAGAACAAAAUCCUCCUUAUCAAAUUAUCCUAUAGCACCAACCUUGAUUUACCCAUGAACACAAGAUACAUUUCCAUUAAAGUACUCAGUCUUAAUCUAUUACAAUUAUUUGGUCUAAUAACAACAUGAAUCAAUGACACUUCCAUCACCUUUUCAUAGGUUGUAAUGCCUCCAGAAAUUGCCAUGAAAUUUUAGGAUGCCACAAUUUUUAAAUGUUUUAAAUAAAUUUAGUUUUAAAUUAAAUUUAAUUAAUUUUAUAUUAAUUAUUUACCACAUCAGCAGCAAAAUGAUGUCUUUUUGCACUCAUCUAGCCAUGUUAGCAUGCAAAAUAGCAAAAGAACGCUUCAAGUGUCAUAACUUGGCACAAAGGGACACUUAAGUGCAAUAACUUAUGAAAGGUACACUUAAGUGCCACAUUCGAAGAAAAACGGAUCACUUAAGUGCCACUCCGGUCAAAGUCCAGCUAAAAUGCCGGCGUGGCAUUUUUCCGGCAAAGCGCACCCAAAACGACGCCGUUUUGCACUCUGACGUGGUCAAAUAAUGCUAAAAGAGUGUCGUUUUGGGCUAACAUGGUAAUAUAUAUAUAUAUAUAUUAAUUAAAUUUAGUUAAAAUAUUUUAAAAUGAUAAUUUUAAAAUUAAAUUUAGUUAAAAUAUUACAAAAUAAAAAAAUUUUAAAAAAUUUUAAAAAAAGGAAAUGGGAGGAGGCGGCUGAGGGAUUAGCUCUCAGCCGCUACUGGGAAGGGCUGGCGACGGCGGGGGGAGGGUCGGCCGGGGUCGCCGGCCCCUGGCUACAGCCCUCGCUCAGAUCCAGCAAGGGUCGCCAGCCCUCGCCGGAUUUGGGCGAGGGCCGCGACCCUCCCCAGAUUUGUGGCUAGUGGUGAGGGCUCGCGGCCCUCGCCCAAAUCUAGCGAGGGUCGACGGCCCUCGCCCAGCCAGGCCAAGGGUUGCUGACCCUCGCCGAAUCUAGGUGAGGGCCGCGACCCUCCCUAGAUUUGUGGCCAGUGGCGAGGGCUCGCAGCCCUCGCCUAGAUCCGGUGAGGGUCGACGGCCCUUGGCCUGGCCCCCAAUCUAGGGCGAGGGCUCGCAAGUAUUAUUUUUAAUAUUUUAACUAAAUUUAAUUUUAAAUUUAAUUUAAUUAAUUUUUAUAUUAUUUUGUUACCACGUCAGUUGAAAACGAUGCCAUUUUUGCAUUAUUUGGCCACAUCGGCGUGUAAAACGGCAUCGUUUUGGGCUCGCUUCGCUGGAAAAAUGCCACGUCGGCGUUUUGGCCGGACUUUGGCUAGAUUGGCACUCAAGUGAUCCAUUUUACUCCAAUUUUGGCACUUAAGUGUACUUUCGUAAGUUAUGGCACUUAAGUGUCUAUUUAUGCAAAGUUAUGGCACUUUAGGGGUCCGCACGUCUAUGCAAAACGACGUCGUUUUGCACUUGCCUCGUCGGAAAAUUGCCACGUUAGCAUUUUGGUGGAUUUUCUUGCUACUGACACUUAAGUGAUCUAUUUUGCUCCAAUUUUGGCACUUAAGUGUUCCUCUGUGCCAAGUUUUGACACUCUAGUUGUUUGACACUCCUUGUUUUGGGUAAGAAAAUGAAGUUUUUCAUUGUCAUUUACUUCAUGCUGUUGGGCUGAAUGGUUUGGUCAUUAACAUGGUAUGCCUGUGUAUGGAAUUGAGUAGAGAAGUUUCUUGUGGCUUGGCAAGGUUGGGUUCUAUUAUUUAGUUGUUGCAAAAAGGAUUUAAUCAUCAGUAGGACAUUGGGGAUUUAUCUUAGACUAUCUCCUUUCUUAUAGCUAAUAUUCUCUUUUACUUUGUUCUAAAUUGUGAACUUGCCCUUUCUGCUUGAUUUACUAGCUGGCAAACAUAGUUACCAUCUUUCAUGCCUCAUAGGAAUGUAGUUUGGUGUUAUUAGAUAUGAUACUUUAUAUGUCCUUAGGGCAAAAACCUCACUAUAGUAAACAUGUUGUAAAACUUACAUCAAUAUGUUUUGUUUAUAUCUUUUAUUAGUUCACUGCAAAGACAUCACUCUUUUACCUAGGGAGAACCAUCUAGCUUCCCCCCUCCCCCCUCACUAUUUGAGUGCCUUGUUAGUGAUUAUCAGCAAGCUUCAUAAUGUUUACUACAUUGAGGAUUUGAUUUUAGGAUAACGUCUUUCUAGCUUAGGAUGAAGUUCGAGUUAUUACGAGUAUAUUGUUUAUAAUAGGUUCAAAUGAAGAAGAUACCUAAUUGUUUUUUUUUCAUGUAGAUAUAGAAGUAUGACUGAGUGGAUGCAUGAGUAUUUUGUAUACCCAAUGUAUGUAUUCACAUACAUUGAAAAGCCGUUUGUGCUGUCUUUGAAACAACUUAUGUUGUCCUAUGCGUUUUUGGCUCUUCUAGUAUUACCCCUCUAGUAUUUCACCCACAUUUUGUAUUUCAUGAUCCGUGUGCUCAAAUAUUGAUGGAUGAUUGCAAAAUUUAAGUGGUGGUAAUGGGUUCUGUUGCAACACUUAUGAUAGUUAUCACACUAAUUUUUGGAUGAUUAUAAUCAUUUUAAGAACCACAUACCAAGAGAGCCUUGUGUAAAUUGGGAUUACAAGAGAGAGUUGUAUAUGGAUAUCAAACAUAGAUGGUGUGGAAUGCUUUUUUAGAGCUCUAUAAGGUACUUAGUGCAAGUAACUUGUUGCGUUCCAUUGUAAAUGUAUUAUUAGGGAGCAAGUUAUGGUAUUUUGCCAUAUUAUUGGACAUAAUUUGAGGUUUAGAGUCAUAGAGGGAAGAGAAGUUGGUGAGCCGUAUGAUAGGCAACUAUCUCUUGUGGUUCGGAGAGGACACAGUUGUUAGUUAGUAUGCCCUCGAAACUUUAUGACAGCUUUUUCAUACAUGUUCACUUGCAUCACAUACACAAGUGCUCUUUGAACUAUGCAAUAAGGUUACCCAUAACAAGGCUCUCCCACUUGAGUUACCUUAGCCCCAGGGCCAUGCUAUUUAAUGAUAUUGGAAAAAUUAAAAAUCGUCAUGCAAGCAAAUUUGAAAUUAUAUAAACAUGUGGUGAAAAAUAUAAGCAAUUCAACUCCUCUUGAGAUAAGUCAUAGUCAAAAUUUUAUCCGUAUUUUAAGGUAUAAAAUUUGGAAAGAAAAAAAAAGUCUUCAUACAUUGCUUGAGAAGUUUUAUUAGUUUUUGGUUGGUAAUUAUGUCGAUUAUUUUAGGAUUGUGUCUUAGCAAUGGAUGGAACUCUUGUACAUGCAUCAAUUUCUCUUGAAAUUCAAAGAAGAUUUCGUGGUUGGAAGGAUGGAACAACACAAAAUGUAUUAGCCACUAUUACAUUGACUUGAGAAUUUCUUAUGUAUUAGCUAGUGCACAUGAUUUGCGUAUUUUAUCUGAUGCACUUUGAAAGCUGGAUGGAUCGAACAUUCUAGAGGUAAAAAAAAAUGGAAUUUAUACAUAAUGUUUGAAUUGAGCUUAGUAUCUUAGUAAUAAACUUAUUUAUAACUUGUAGUAAAAUAUUUGCUGAUGCUUGUUGUGGAAUUCAAAAUGGCAUCAUCUUUCCAUAUCGUGGUGUUAGAUAUCAUUAAAAGGAGUUCAAUGAUUGCCCACCUGAACUUGAGAAGGAACUAUUCAAUUUGCAUCAUUCAUUUCUAAGAACUACCAUCAAAAGAGUGUUUUCGAGUAUUGGAUUCCAAACCUUUUUGGUCCUUUGGAACGCAUGUCAAUGUUAUCUCAACUUGUUGUAUUAUUCACAAUUUUAUCAUGGGAUUGAAGGUAACUGCAAAUUUGAAGAAUAUAUGGGUUGGUAAAGCAAUGCAUGCUUAUGUGGUGAGGACUUGAAAAUAUUUUCCCUGAUCUUUUUAAGAUUUCAUCUAAACACUAGAAAAUAUUCUCAUUCUCUUGAAAAUUGACUUUUAGGAAAAUUAUUUUUAAUAACGCUACAUUUUCUUUGUUCACUUGAGGAGGAAACCUCAUGUAUUAACAAAUUCAAAAAUGAAUUUAUACAUUUAAGAAUGCACCUCUGUUUAUACAGGAACAAUGGCAUGGAAAUCAACCAAACAUUAAAGAUAUAGGAACUAGACAAUGCAUUUAGAAAACAUGGGAACUCAAAUUUUCACUUUCCAACCUAGCAAUUCAACCACCAGCCAUGCCCUUCAAUCUGCAUUCACUCUUCACUUUUGAGAACCUUCAUCUUGGAUGUUUUGGGACCUACCGCAUCAUGUUGCGGCCGAAAUUCGCCUCUCUUUGCACGAUCAACAAAUGGGCUUUUGAUUAAUCGAUAGGGGACCUUGAGUAAAGUUUUGCAUUACGGUCGAGAGGACUCCUAGGCUUUGGUGCUCUCCCGGAUCAAUUAUCCCCCAAACUAAUUCUUUCCAAACGAAAUUCGAAAUCAAGCUUAUAAUGUCUCUCCAACCAUGAAAAUACUAAAAUUUCACUAAUACCCUCCCAAGAGCUGCUUGUCAUAGUACAGUCCUUGUGCUUUUUCUUUUGGUGUGAUCUAGCAUGGAGAUUCGACCUUUCUUUUGCAUGGAAUAGAUACCAUGACACGUCAUCUGCCCCCACCGCCGAGCCACCCGGGGAGGAUCGUCUCCUUCCUCCCGGCGGACUCCCAAAAUCUCCGUCAUCCUCUCGCCGUACAGUCCGCUCUCUCUCUCUCUUCUUUCUCUCUCUACCCCGACCGUCCUCGCGGGCAUCUGCUCCCAUGGCGCUGUGCAGGUGGAAGCCUCGCGGCGCCCUCGAGCACGCCGCGUCCCAGUUCGAGCUCCUGAAGCGGAGCCGCCCGGCGCUGUCUUCCUUGAUCGGCGCGCCGAGGUCUGCAGCGGCUCCUUCUCCUUCUUCCUCUUCUUCUUCGCUGUCGAAGUUGAUCUGCCGCUCGUGCUCCGACUGGGUCGGCAGGACGCCUCGCUUCUCCCCUCGCCGCUUCUAGUCGACCGUGGCCGAGAAGCUCCCGCGGUUCGCCAACGGCGUCGCCGGCAAUCUGGUAAAAUUGGAUAACUGCGAUGGAAACUUAGAGGUGUUAAUUCAUGAGGGCAUGCUUCGUUUGGUCGCUUUUCAUGCUUCUGAGAGAUGAUCGCUUGUGGAACGCGAUCCAGCUUGGUGAUAAUUCAUGUUUAUUCGCGCAACCGAGAAAUGCAAAAGAUCUUGACUUUGCACCUCGUGCAGGUUUGUCUUGUUCAAAUAAGUAUAGUAUGACGGGUGAGUAUGUCUGCUUUCGUGUCCAAUAUUCUUCAGCCACCAUGGGAACUGGUGUAUGUAUGCCCAUAGGAUAUCUGUCUAUGUAGUUAUCGGGGUGAUUCCAUUGAUCUGAAUGUGUCUGCAUAACCCGGUAUUUUCGCCUAUCCAAUUGAUAUGGCGAUGAAAGUGGAAAAGGGCACUCUUUAUGAUCACUUGGUAGAAUGUAACAUUGCCACUCUACUUGAAAAGCUUUACUCCUUGGAAGACUGCAAAAGCUCGGAUUUCAGUUCUCAUUAACAAUUUAGACUUCACAUUUUGGUGUGCAUAAGCCGAUUCACCAGAUGUUUGGUUUGGACAGACAAUGGACUUUCCUGGUGGUAAAGUUGCAUUCACAUCUAAGAUGAGCUUCAUAUCUGAGUCUCCCGAGUAAAGGGCACAGUGCUAGAGGGUACUAGAUGAAGAUGGCCAGCCACUAGUUCACAGUAGCUUCAUACAGGUAUUGCUUGCUUUAGAGGUCACUUCGACCCAGAACUGUUACUUGCUUUAGUUGAUGAGACCUUUUGAAAUGAUGCGUCUGGAGAAAGAGAAGACCCAGAGUUGGGGCUGGUCAUGGAGUGCCCGAAAGAUCGACGCGUAGAAAAAGGGAUGAUUGAAGCAGGGUCAAACGUACGAAAGGAGAUCACAUUUACAACAAGAGCACACUCCACCUGCGCCCGCUAGGGUGUCCGGUUCUGGAGUUUUACAGAAAGUUAAAAGACUCAUAAUUAUGCAUGCAUGGUGCAUGAAAUUUGUCAUGAUACUAAAGCUAUUCCAUGAAGAUGUUUUUCAUAGUUCCUCCGAAAAACCCUUGAAAGUGUUUCUGAGUUUUAUGAGUAGGAUAUGUAUAGUUUUUUUUUUUUUUUUUUUUUUUUAGCAAAAGGGUAUGUGUAGUUCAAUUACUUCAAAAUUGGACUCGUUACCUGUGUUUUGGCCCUGUGUGGAUGGGUUGAUUGCCAAGAAAGAAACCUUAGUUGAAUGUGUACUUCUGUUUGGCUGAGAGUUAAGUAAUAUCGCUUGAUUUGAGUUUGAUUUUAUGUAACAUCAUGCAAAGAAGAAAUUCUUGGAUCACGCAAGAAGAUUGAUAGCUAAUAACUAACCCUGGGGUACACUGAGAAUUUGAGGCAAGCAAUUGAUAUUAAUGGCAAGUUACUCAGAUAUUCAAUCAUGAACAAGUGGAUUUGGACAAUUCGUGAUUAUAUAGGAGCUCAAUUCUCCGUAUACACCCUAAGUAUGAAUAAUUUCAUGUUUGGGCUGCCUAUCUGAGUUUAUAAACUUGCGUUUUACCUUAUUCAUAGAGUUAAAGAGAUGCUUAUUGGGUAUAUGAUCUUAGCUAUUUAAGGAGUAUAUCCAUCCGUGAUGAUAAUGAAAACACUCAUUGGAGCAGAAGUGAUUUAUCUUCGUCCUGUACAUGGGAUCUAGCUCUUCUCAAGGAGCAGUUCCACUAAAGAAAAAGAAGUACGUAUAUAUUAUAUAAGAAAAUAAUGAAACCAAAAGAUUAGUUCGAAUGUCAUGCAUCCGCUCUCGGUCAUCAAAAGUUGAUUACUUUCAGCUCCUUCUCCCAUUUUAAAUUCAUCGCAAACCGCCAAACUAAUCCCCAAACUAGAGAUUCGGACGAAACCUGAAGUUUAGUUGCCCAUCAUCAUCAAGAGCUGUUUCUGCGCUCGUCUUUUAGCGCAAUUUUUUUCGUUGGUACGAAUGUUUUUUAUAUGUUAGAUUGCUGUCAACAAAGUUGUCACAAACCUGAAAAAUAAUUAAACCAAGCUCUCAGAUUGGAUUCUCCGUCGCACUCAAAGUAGGGGUCUGCCCCUGAUUUGGUCCUACCUGAGAAAUGAUACAUAGAACCAUAUAGCUCGAAUUUCCAAGCACCUGAAUUAGUCAGUUUGGUUCGUGAUUGAUUCCGGAUUUUCCGAACCAAAAACUACCUCAUUAGGCUCGGUAUCCAACCUUUGAACUGGCCCAUUAUAUAACUCAAGCAAGGACUUGAUUUCAAUGAAUUGGACAGCGGUCAAUUUGUACUGUGUCAUAGAUUAGUAAAUCUUAUUAGAUUGAGUCCAAUCUUACCAAGAAGGGUUACCACAUAACUAAACCCUAGUAAUCAAAUUUGUGCUGCUGUCCCCUACACGGGUCUUGAGGAUAAGGGGUGUGAAUAGUGAAAAGGUCUUUGCAACUUAUCCGAUGAAUCCAUCAGCUCAACAAAUUUCUUGUGCAGAUUAAAGCCUAGUUUUGAAUGAAAGAGAUCAUGAGUCAAGCAUAUUUUCUCUCAAUAUCUUGUAACAUGGACACAAAGUGUAUUGACACCAAUAUAACACGAUACUGUGUAUGAUCAUAAUGCGUUUAUACAGAGAAAGCAUCUUAUCCAUCAUAUUUAGAAAAUAACAAAAUCACCAUUCACAAUAUCAAGAAUCAAAGAUAAAAGGUGGGUUUCUUUUUUACUUGUAGUAGCAUUUAAUCACUUUAUUAAAGAAGAUUGACUUCAUGCUCUAUGUAAAUAAUAUAUACGCUACCUAAGAUCCAUUAUUUAAAUUUAAAAUUUAAAAGCUACUCAGAAGCUUGAAUUAUUAUAUAUAUAGUGAAAUGAAUAUCAUAGGGUAAUUAACAUUAACCUUGUAAAAUGACCAUAAACAGAAAUAAAUAAGAAUAAUGUAUUUGUGUUUCCGGAUUAUAAGAGAAGGGAAAAAUUACUGGCAAGAAGAGGGAUCAACCCAAAUCAUCCAACUCUCUCCUCUUGUUGCCUUAAAAAGACAUGCAGCGUCAGCGCUUGCCUUUCCACUCGACAUAUCAUAUCCCUCCAAGAACCGCCGCUCUCUCUCCCUCUCCCUCUCUCUCUCUCUCCUCCCCUCUCUCUCCUCCCCCCCCCCCCCCCUCUCUCUCUCUAUAAAUACGUGCGUGGAUUUCAAUCGGAGAAAUUGGUAAAGAAAGGCAAGAUCAUCAAGAAUUACCAUAUAUAGGAUAAUCCGCAGUAGCUCAAUUUUGCUGGUUUUGGCUUGUGAUCAUGAGAGAUGUAAAGGAAAAGGAAGAAGAAGAAGAUGAUGGCAAGAUGCUGAAGCUACCACCUGGAUUUCGGUUCUCGCCGACAGACGAAGAACUCGUCCUUCACUUUCUGCAUCCCAAGAAGCAGCAGGCCUCUCUGUCUCCUCUCUAUGCUCACCUGGUUCCUGAUCUCAAGUCUCACCACCAUGAUCCUUGGGACCUCCAUGGUAAGCGAGAGAGAGCAACUUUUGCUUUAUUAUCGUACAUAUAGUUGCUUAGUAGGAUGCAGUGCCCUAGCUAGAAGAAAUUCUGGAUAAAGAGGUAUAGAAAAAUUAGCUCUGAUUGCCCUAAUACAUCUUAUGAUGAGCUUGUCAAGAUCUUGAAGACGAGACUUGUGAGAGUAAGUGGUUUUUCCUGAAGUCACAUGAUUAUCAAAAGUAACUUAGCAAAGAUUUGCCGUGUUAAUAUCGUAACA